AGCAGCCGCGGUAAUUCCAGCUCCAAUAGCGUAUAUUAAAGUUGUUGCAGUUAAAAAGCUCGUAGUUGAAUUUCGGGAUCAAUUUGUCGGUCGUGCCUCGGUACGUACUGGUAUUAUUGAUUUCUCCCUUCUGAAGAACCGCGAUGUCAUUAAUUUGGUGUCGUGGGAAAUCAGGACUGUUACUUUGAAAAAAUUAGAGUGUUUAAAGCAAGCUUACGCUUGAAUACAUUAGCAUGGAAUAAUGAAAUAGGACGUUUGAUUCUAUUUUGUUGGUUUCUAGGAUCGACGUAAUGAUUAAUAGGGAUAGUUGGGGGCAUUAGUAUUCAAUUGUCAGAGGUGAAAUUCUUGGAUUUAUUGAAGACUAACUACUGCGAAAGCAUUUGCCAAGGAUGUUUUCAUUAAUCAAGAACGAAAGUUAGGGGAUCGAAGACGAUCAGAUACCGUCGUAGUCUUAACCAUAAACUAUGCCGACUAGGGAUCGGAUGAUGUUAAUUUUUUAAUGACUCA
rnacentral:rRNA from 1 species